rnacentral:lncRNA from 1 species
CACAUGAAAGAAGUAAAUAAUCUCUAUUUAGCAAAAAAACAAUAUUGGAGUGCACAAUACAAAAUUCUGAUCAAAAUAACAUAUUAAAAUUACAAAUCAGUCACACUGGACAUUAAGAUACACAUAAUAUGUGCAUCGUGUUGACAGUAGUAUCACUAUCCUAUCCAAGUGGAGUAACCCUUCUAAACCAAACUCAAGUGUCUUCUAUUCUAUCUCAAUUACCUACAAAAUAAUAGCAAAAAAAAUGUGAGAACUAUCGACAUGAGAAAUCUAUUAUGGGAAACAUUCAGACAAUCCUCUAUUUAAAAUGACACUAAUUAGCUCACCCGCAAAGAAAUGACAAGUGCAAGGAACAAUAUACAGCAACAUCAGAUAUUUCAAUUAACAUGCACAUUUUAGCAGCAGGCAGAAAAGGAUUUGGCAUGCAGAAAGAACACAAAAAUAAAUCAAAUAUAAAUAUUAAGAGUGAGAUGGUUGGGGGAAUAUCUAUCCUGGAAAAUUAGAGCAUCAAUGAGUUACUAUAUGUGGAUAGAACAAAUCUUUACUAAGAUCGUUGAAAUAAAUGUCCUACUGAAACAAAGAACAUGAAAUAUUAUUAAAUAUGUAUAUUUCAGUCAACAUGUCUGACGUGAAGCAUAUUUUCAGUCUUCCACUAAUAUCAAAACGACACAUGCAUACCUAGAAAUCACUAUAAGCAUUUUAUAAAAAAAUCAAGUAACAUGACUACCAUUAAAAUAUGCGCUGCUAACUGAUUUUAAUCUCCAACAAUACACCACCAAUGCUUUCAGGAAGCUAUUCAGACCCAAGUAAUUCCUGCUAGAAAUUGGCAUAAAAUCCAAAACACAUACAAAACUAUAUAAGUAAUACAGCGAGCUCCGAAAUAAAUCUAGAGUAACUAGUCAUCUAUCUACCUGUGCACAACAAGAAAAAUGGGUGCACCACAAAAUAAAUGUUAUCUUCUUCAUUCGAUUUUUCAAGAUUGUUGCCUUUUCAAGUCGCUAAGAAGCAGUUAAGUACAUUGCAAUUAUAUGAUUUUGGCACAAAGCAUUUCACAGGAAUUAGAGCACUAUGAGUUUUGAUCCAUUGUACAAAAAAAAAAGAUUUGACACAGCACAUGGAACUUCAAGCGGCUUGUUUGUGAUUUCGCUUCUUUGUCAAGUAUUUUAGGUACCUAUAGAAGGAGACAGGGAGAUAAAGAAUUUGCAUGUAUGAUGUAUCUAGAGAUUAAAUUGUACAGCUACAUGUGUGGGCAGUCGAGAGCUACAUGAAAGUUUAUUAUCCAAUAACCAGAAAUCAUAUAGGUUGAAAACUGCAUAGCUAAAACAAGCCCAUUAACUAUAAACAAUAAAUGUCAUAUUUAUAUGAAAAGAAAUUGGCGGAAAGAAAACAGAAAAUACUCUCCUUAUUCUUGAAUUUGAAAGCUUUGUGACCUCUAUAGUAAUCAUUUCAGUAAGUAUAGGACCAGAAUCAUGAACUGAAUUUUUAGUUAGAAGAACAAGCAUUGAAUUACGUGUAUUGUCAGUCAAGCUUACUUCCAGUAAACAUUGAGCCCUAGCAGAACAUAAGGGCAAGUAGAUGCUUGAGUAAAGUGUAUGAAUAACAUAAAGGGCAUGUUCAGGAAAGGGCUGUGCAGAUAUCAUCACCAAGUAAAAAAAUGUUUCCAGUCCAUGUGAGAUAUUCAAAUUAUGCAGGCAAGGGCAGUGCAGAUAUCAUCACCAAGUGAAAAAUGUUUUUAGCUGUACAAAGACCAUUAGAUGCACUAACCGAUGUGGGAUCCAUCACCAUUAUGUGCAUGCAGAAACAUUGGACACUGCAGUAAAAUGUACCUACAGAAUUUGCAGAUAUGAGUUUUUCUUCAGUUAGAUAUAAAAUGGUAUGAGUUUCUUAAUACUAAAAGCUGACAGGAUAAAUCUUGCAGGCCAUUACUCUGAAUUAUAAGUGUACAACUACAACACAAUGCUUGAACUGCAACAAGAACGGAGAUUUGCCUAAUACUUUUUGUUUGCAGUACAAAAAAUGAAUGUGCUUCACGAUGUGACUAGGAAGGAACAAAGCACAAACAAUCAGUAACGAACGAGUAACCCUCAGUGGUGCUCCUGCCCUUGCUGUUCGUUUUAAUGUCGAACAAGGCAGACGCCCAGACGUUUUCUCUGUACUGGUUCAACAUGGCCAACGAGGCCUCCAGCCAUCCUUUAACAGGUACGGCUAGAUAAAUCCAUGGCCGGUGUUUUGCCCCAAGAGUUUUGCUCGUCCAGGUGGUACUCUGUACUCCUCUGCAGAGCUCCAAAAAAAUCUUAUAUUAGCGGAGACGAGCAGAGGGGAACGGUAGGGUACGGGACCAGUGCAGAGGUACGUACUGGGUCUUUCCGGCUGGAGAAGGUGAACGACGACGCAUAGAGGAGGCUGCGCACCACCGAUGGAGAAGACGACCGCGACGAUGAGGGGAGGGACGAUGGGGCGGCUGACGGACAAUUGGACCGAGCCACAGAUCGCCGAUGUACUCUGCAUCUGUGGAUGUGUUGCCACCUCCUGUACGGCUGUACCUCACCUCAGCUCGCCGCCAGAUGGAGCUGGAUCAAUGCACGCCGCCAGCGACCUCAGGGCCGUCCAAAUCCGGCAGUUGGUCCCCCCGCCACCGCUGCAGCCUCAGAUCGAGGGGUAUGACUGGGAUGCAAUAACUCAAGGGGCCGAUCUGAAUGGGAAGAGGCGUGGAAUGGGGAGGGGUCCCGGGCGGGAUAGAUGUGGAGGGGCUCGACGCGGUGUGGUUCAGGGCCGGCGCCAUCGGCGUCGGCGCCGACAUGUAGUGGCGAGAGGAGGAAGGUGAAGUGGCGGCGGCUAUGGUUGGUACGGGAGAUGGGAGAAAGGUAACUAGGGUUAGGCUGGUGUGGACUCUGUAGUUAAAUGGGCUGGCUU